AAGUCGUAACAAGGUCUCCGUAGGUGAACCUGCGGAGGGAUCAUUAACACGUUUUAAAACACGUUUUAACACAACCAACCAACCACGUGAACUAUUUAACACUCCUGGAAGAGAGAGAAUUCUGUCUCCUCACACUAAUGAUGAGCUCUCGCAAGGGAGCGGUGUGUUUAGACUGGCACAUGCAGUUUCCUUCACGGGAUUCGGCAAUUGUGUAAAGACCUUUCUUUUCUGGGCUAAAUGCCUCUCUCAUCACUGGGGCGAAAACACCACUUUCACUACUUCUAUAACCAUUGACUGUUCGUUUCGAUUCUGAAAAGAAUUGUAAACAUUAAUCAAAUAUCUAAGCACAACUCUUAGCAACGGAUAUCUUGGUUCUC
rnacentral:misc_RNA from 1 species